AUACGCCGAGCCGGUCUUUGAGCGCUAACGUCUUUCUGUGUCCCCGCGGUGGUGAUGACGGUGAAAACUGAGGCUGCUAAGGGCACCCUCACUUACUCCAGGAUGAGGGGCAUGGUGGCAGUUCUCAUCGCUUUCAUGAAGCAGAGGAGGAUGGGUCUGAACGACUUUAUUCAGAAGAUUGCCAAUAACUCCUAUGCAUGCAAACACCCUGAAGUUCAGUCCAUCUUGAAAAUCUCCCAACCUCAGGAGCCUGAGCUUAUGAAUGCCAACCCUUCUCCUCCACCAAGUCCUUCUCAGCAAAUCAACCUUGGCCCGUCGUCCAAUCCUCAUGCUAAACCAUCUGACUUUCACUUCUUGAAAGUGAUCGGAAAGGGCAGUUUUGGAAAGGUUCUUCUAGCAAGACACAAGGCAGAAGAAGUGUUCUAUGCAGUCAAAGUUUUACAGAAGAAAGCAAUCCUGAAAAAGAAAGAGGUAUGAGAUGUGCUUGAUGGGGCUGGCAUUGGCGGUAGACACUCCUUGAAUAAUCUUGAUCCUGGAAUGUUGGUGCCAAGUUGAAACAUGCCACUAAAUCUG
rnacentral:sRNA from 1 species